GACGAACGCUGGCGGCGUGCUUAACACAUGCAAGUCGAACGGAAAGGCCCUGCUUUUGUGGGGUGCUCGAUUGGCGAACGGGUGAGUAACACGUGAGUAACCUGCCCUUGACUGUGGGAUAACUUCAGGAAACUGGGGCUAAUACCGGAUAGGAUCUCCUGCUGCAUGUUGGGGGUUGGAAAGUUUCGGCGGUUGGGGAUGGACUCGCGGGUUAUCAGCUUGUUGGUGGGGUAGUGGCUUACCAAGGCUUUGACGGGUAGCCGGCCUGAGAGGGUGACCGGCCACAUUGGGCCUGAGAUACGGCCCAGACUGCUACGGGAGGCAGCAGUGGGGAAUAUUGCACAAUGGGCGGAAGCCUGAUGCAGCAACGCCGCGUGCGGGAUGACGGCCUUCGGGUUGUAAACCGCUUUCGCCUGUGACGAAGCGUGAGUGACGGUAAUGGGUAAAGAAGCACCGGCUAACUACGUG
rnacentral:rRNA from 1 species